GACGAACGCUGGCGGCGUGCCUAACACAUGCAAGUCGAACGGAGUUCAAUGGAACAAGGCUUCGGCCAAGAGAAAUUGAACUUAGUGGCGAACGGGUGAGUAACACGUGGGCAAUCUGCCCUGCACUCUGGGACAAGCCCUGGAAACGGGGUCUAAUACCGGAUAUGAUCACCGGCCGCAUGGUCUGGUGGUGGAAAGCUCCGGCGGUGCAGGAUGAGCCCGCGGCCUAUCAGCUUGUUGGUGGGGUGAUGGCCUACCAAGGCGACGACGGGUAGCCGGCCUGAGAGGGCGACCGGCCACACUGGGACUGAGACACGGCCCAGACUCCUACGGGAGGCAGCAGUGGGGAAUAUUGCACAAUGGGCGAAAGCCUGAUGCAGCGACGCCGCGUGAGGGAUGACGGCCUCGGUGUAACCGUACUUCUAGCAGGAGAG
rnacentral:rRNA from 1 species